UUCCUCGGCCCACAUGUAGAAACAGGCAUAUAAAGAAUAUUGAAGCCCCGUUAGUGUGCAGGUUACAAAGGAGUCAGCCGUGGUUAACAUCACGGCAAAUGUGGGCUACAGAGGAGAAAGCGGUCUUUGAGGGAAGUGCGGAUGGCCAUUUGUGAAAGAUGUUGCAGCAUCAGAAUGCAGAAAGGGACACCUCUUGGGGCAGAUCAAUGAAAUUGGCAUCUUCUCAUGUCCUGGGGAGAAGGAGAGACAGCACACUUAAGAACAAAGACAGGGACACCUCUGAAUAGCUUCUCUACCUCCUCUCAACAAUCCUACA